GUUGCCCAUUGAGGCGUUCCUAAAGCUACUGUUCCUGUGUAGUCUUGGGGCUGUAAUGGGCAUAGAGAGAAUGGUGUCUGUCUGCAUGCUUCUACUUUAUGUCCUGGGGUCCUCAGGAGUUUCGUGUAGUAGUAGCGCGUGAUACGUUCACCUACAUA
rnacentral:snoRNA from 1 species